CCGCACUAGGAUCGUAGAAGGAGUGGAGCCGUGCUCUCACCCUGUCUUAGAGGACCCGGAAGCGCCAAGUGACUGAGGGCCGAAGACACUCACCUGUGGAGCCUGUGCACCGGCUGCAGGCCCCCUGGACACCCAGAACGUAGAGUCUGGAGAGGAGACGUCGAAACCUCCCAGGGGAGGCUGGCCCAGCUUUACCCCAGCCUGACUGUGUGACCUUGAGGAGGACAGCCACUUUCUCUGGUACCCAGUGUCCUCAGUUGCAAAACAGUGACUGGCCCUUGCCCUGCUUGCCCUGAGACUGGGCAGAUCAGAUGCUGUAGCUGCUGGGGGCUGGGGUGGCGCUUUCUCUCUACUGGGGCACUAGGAGUGCUUACUCUCCUGCUCCCUCUGGUCCUCGGUGGAGAGCCACACCCUUCAUCCACCCAAACCUGGGAGCCCCGAGGGCUGAGAGCCUAGUCCUAGGGCAGCUUGCUCUGGCUUCCCUGUGCUAGAGUUGUAGUCUAGCCUGGAAGGCCUGUGAACAUCCCCAAGGUGGGGUGUGAGGCCUACGUGGAGUGCACAUGCUCGUUUUGCAAAUAGUGGUGCCACCAUUGUGCAUGGCCUUGAGUGCCAAGUUAAGAAGUCCAAACUCCGCUGGGCGCGGUGGCUCACGCCUGUAAUCCCAGCACUUUGGAGACUGAGGCGGGUGGAUCAUGAGGUCAGGAGAUCGAGACCAUCCUAACACGGUGAAACCCCGUCUCCACUAAAAAUACAAAAAAUUAGCCGGGUGUGGUGGCACACGCCUGUAGUCCCAGCUACUCGGGAGGCUGAGGCAGGAGAAUUGCUUGAACCCAGCAGGCGGAGCUUGCAGUGAGCCAAAAUCAUGCCACCGCACUCCAGUCUGGGUGACAGGGCAAGACUCCAUCUCA
rnacentral:lncRNA from 10 species